GUUUUUUGGACAAUAAUUCUAUUUGGUUCUAGAGAAGCCGUUAAUUCAUAUCUCUAGUUUAUGUAUUGACUAUACAGUCAGUGCCGCGAAGUUACCAUUUGAUGGAUUAUGACCGAAUGCCUUUAGGUCGGAAUUUGAACUGAAAGAAGGCGAU
rnacentral:ncRNA from 1 species